rnacentral:lncRNA from 1 species
CUAAACUGGAAGUCAGCAGAAUGGCCCCAAGACUUCAAAGGAAAACAAAGGCCUAAUCCCUGUUAGGGUGGCCGAUGGAAGUAAGAAGUCAUUCAAAAGCUGGGAAGAGCGUAAGGACCAAAUUCCUGAUGGAAGGUGCUUCACGUGGUACAGCUGGACUCAAGAGCCUCGACACAAGUGAGAUGUGAUUUUUGGUGAGCCAGGCAAAUUGAAAGAUAUGAUAAAGAGCUCUCCUUCUGUUCAAACAAGAAUAUCGAUAAGGCAGUGGUUUUCUGCUAAUGUUGCCCAAAAGCAUGACUUUGUUUAAAUUCUCUGUAAAUGUCCAAAAGGAAAUGCUGAUGCAAAUGAAUAUUAUGUGUUCCUGUUAAAAAUUUGCAGUGUAACUUUGCAGGAAAUGUAAACUCUGUAGAUUAAUCAAAUGUAACAUCAAUAUAUCAACAAAUAUUAUUGUGCAUAUUUUGUGCCCUAAGCACUAUACUAGGCCUGUUUAUGGAACAAACUUAGUAAAAAUUAUAUACCACCGUGUCCAAACCCUCAAGGAGUAAAUUUUUUAAAAUUUGCAUGGAAAGACAGCUAACAUAAAAGCAAUGGAAGAAAUCACAAAGGAAAGACAGAUUUGACUGCAUGAAAACAUAAAUUUCCUGUUUGUCAAAAUACAAGCUUAUCAGAUAAUAAGCAACAAGGUGAAAAAUAUAUCUAAUUGUGUUGCACCAAGGAUAAGCUCCUUGGUAUAUGAUGAGGUUAUGUAAGUAAUAUGAUAAGACACUAAGAUUCCAGCAGAUAAAUGGUUCACAAACAUGACAUUCACAAACGAGGACAUAGAAUGGUUUAGAAAUAUUU